rnacentral:rRNA from 1 species
UACGAGGGGGGCAAAUGUUGUUCGGAAUCACUGGGCGUAAAGGGAGCGUAGGCGGGUUCUUAAGUAAGGUGUUUAAUCCCGGGGCCCAACCCCGGACCGGCACUUUAAACUGGGAAUCUUGAAUAGUGGAGAGGUCAGUGGAAUUGGGGGUGUAACGGUGGAAUGCGUAGAGAUCCCCAAGAACACCAGUUGCGAAGGCGGCUGACUGGACACAUAUUGACGCUGAGGCUCGAAAGCAUGGGGAGCAAACAGG